GUAGGUGGCAAGCGUUGUCCGGGAAUUAUUGGGGCGUAAAGCGCGCGCAGGCGGUUCUUUUAAGUCUGAUGUGAAAGCCCACGGGCUCAACCGUGGAGUGUCAUUGGAAACUGGAGAACUUGAGUACAGAAGAGGAAAGCGGAAUUCCACGUGUAGCGGUGAAAUGCGUAGAGAUGUGGAGGAACACCAGUGGCGAAGGCGGCUUUCUGGUCUGUAACUGACGCUGAGGCGCGAAAGCGUGGGGAGCAAACAGGAUUAGAUACCCUGGUAGUCCACGCCGUAAACGAUGAGUGCUAAGUGUUAGGGGGUUUCCGCCCCUUAGUGCUGCAGCUAACGCAUUAAGCACUCCGCCUGGGGAGUACGGCCGCAAAGGCUG
rnacentral:rRNA from 1 species